UGCAGUCGACGCUUCUUUUUCCACCGGAGCUUGCUCCACCGGAAAAAGAGGAGUGGCGAACGGGUGAGUAACACGUGGGUAACCUGCCCAUCAGAAGGGGAUAACACUUGGAAACAGGUGCUAAUACCGUAUAACAAUCAAAACCGCAUGGUUUUGAUUUGAAAGGCGCUUUCGGGUGUCGCUGAUGGAUGGACCCGCGGUGCAUUAGCUAGUUGGUGAGGUAACGGCUCACCAAGGCCACGAUGCAUAGCCGACCUGAGAGGGUGAUCGGCCACAUUGGGACUGAGACACGGCCCAAACUCCUACGGGAGGCAGCAGUAGGGAAUCUUCGGCAAUGGACGAAAGUCUGACCGAGCAACGCCGCGUGAGUGAAGAAGGUUUUCGGAUCGUAAAACUCUGUUGUUAGAGAAGAACAAGGAUGAGAGUAACUGUUCAUCCUUGACGGUAUCUAACCAGAAAGCCACGGCUAACUACGUGCCAGCAGCCGCGGUAAUACGUAGGUGGCAAGCGUUGUCCGGAUUUAUUGGGCGUAAAGCGAGCGCAGGCGGUUUCUUAAGUCUGAUGUGAAAGCCCCCGGCUCAACCGGGGAGGGUCAUUGGAAACUGGGAGACUUGAGUGCAGAAGAGGAGAGUGGAAUUCCAUGUGUAGCGGUGAAAUGCGUAGAUAUAUGGAGGAACACCAGUGGCGAAGGCGGCUCUCUGGUCUGUAACUGACGCUGAGGCUCGAAAGCGUGGGG
rnacentral:rRNA from 1 species